AGAUCCUCACUGCCUGGAUUUCUUGCCAUUGGAAGGGGUGCCUCUCCCUGAAGGUGGAUCUCUGAAGGAGGCAGGCCAGGCCUUCCAGCAAAGCUUUCUUUGCCUGGUGUGGUUGUCUAUCUCUCCAGGGGACAGCAAGUGACCGGCACAGAGGCUCUGCUGUGUGCCUGCAGAACGCAGGGACUGCCUUCCCAGCUGCCUCUGCGCAGCCAGAACCUUCCACUGAGAAGCCAGGCGCUUCUACAUGGUAGAGCUGAGCCAAGAACUUCAGACGUAACCAACGCACAGGACAAGCUCUGGGGACCGUGUCUCCUGAACGCACACGACACAAGCUGAGGGGAGCCACUCCUUAGAAACAAUUAAACAGGAAUAUUACAGGAUUCAGUAUCCCUCUUUGGGAACUGGUGGACCCGUCACCCCCAAAUGAAAUCAGCACUUCUCAAAGUGUCCUGUAUUUAUGGUAGCACUAGCCACAGUAGCCAGGAUACAAAAAAAAAAAAAAAAAAAAAGAAAAAAGAAAAAAGAAAAAAGAAAGAAAGAAAGAAAGACUUGUGAAUGGCUAAAGUUUGAUACACACCUCUAGAGAGAGGGGGAGAGAGAGAGCCUUAAAAAUUAAAAAUGAAUUUUAAGGAAUUAUAUCACAUUCUAAACAUGUGUAACAAACAAACAAAAAGGAGGAUGUUUCUUUGACCUUGUGGUUGUUUUAUAGGCUCCUCAUCAGAACACCUUAUAUCCUUAGCUGAGGUUCCUAUGUUCCCCAGAAACCAUAAGCCCCCUUAACUUUGCUCUGAUUUUUCUGACUGCUUUCUACACUUACUGAUAGUAGCACAACACCUUAGAAACCUGGAUCUUGAUGACAUCUGCACACAGCUUAAAGAGAAUAUUGGCUUCAACAUGCCACAAUUUAGACAUAUUUGGGGCUGGCCAUCUAGAAAUGGACUUUGGACUUGAAAUUCCCAGAACCCUCAGCAACACAGCGUCCCUCCACUCUGAUCCACAUGCUGUGGUCCAGGCGUAAGGUAGUGUGUCUGAGAGAACACUGUGAGGGACUCGGUCAGCUCACUGGACUCGGCUUCUCAUACUGUCUAAAUGUGAGCUCGGUGCUGGGUCUGUGUCCUGAUGACGCCACAGCCACUUCCUGUUGUGCAAAAACCAAGCUAUCAAGUUUGAACUGCUUUGAACUGCCAUCUUGAAUAUAGAGAAAUGGAGCACAGACGCUGGCCUGGUGCCCCCUUCUCCCAGUGUGAAGAAAUGGACGUCUGACUAGCAAGUUCCCUCUCAAAUUUUCAAGACUCCCAUAGUAAGAAAAGAAGAAAGCCAGAUGGUUCCAGUUUUGUUUGUGGAAGCAACCACAGAGGACUCACACUGAGCCCAGCUGCCUCUUCACCCUUGCAGGUUUCUGUGGGUUGUACCUGUUCCUCUUGGUUCUCCAUUGUUCCUUGUCCAUCAGUGGGUAGACAAACGUCAAUUAUUUCUGGUGAAGCAAUGGAUCAUACUAACCAUGGACUGAAACUCCAGACGCCAUGACUUCAGACUCCGGCUACCUUGGAGACAGCUGUGUGAGCACUGAAAGUGGUGAUAACUAUAAUUGACUGUGGAAAUAAUGAUGAUCCAUAAAUCUACAUUGGAACUCUGUGUGCAUGUGAGAGAGACAGGAACACACACACACACACACACACACACACACACACACACACAAAUCCUUCUUUCUCUACUUUUCUUCUACAGUAAUUUUUUUAUAAUAAUAAGUGACCAACAUACUAGGUCCUUAGUGAAAAUAGUAUUCUAAGAUAAUAGUUUCUCACUACCUUAGAGAUUAACAAACUGGAGGUGUUAUCGUAAGAUUUAUCUCAAACUAAGAGCAAAGAGAUAGAUAACUUGAUGUAAAAAGUGAAUGGUUAAUUCACAUAUAAGAAACACGGGUAGCAAUGAAACAUUACAUGGAUGUUGGUAAAGGAAGUGGGAUGUAUAAACCUUACAUAAUCCCAGCAUGGAUGAGGGCAUGGCACCCCUCCAAGGAACAAUGCAAGUGACAGCUUCUGAGAGAGGGAGAUACAGUGUUCUUCAUGAGUGUGGCCCCUGCUAGGCUGACUACGCUCCAGUGGAAAGCCACAUACCAAGGUAUAUGACCAGGCAUAAAUGGACGUAAUGAAUUUACAAAACCAAGGACAUAAAGUUGGACAGAGAAGGAAUGAGGCAUAGAUCUGGGAGAAAUUGCUGGAGGGCAAUGGAUAUGAUCUAAAAAAUAAAAUAAAAUAAAAUAAAAUAAAAUAAACGCUAC
rnacentral:lncRNA from 1 species